UGAACGCUAGCUACAGGCUUAACACAUGCAAGUCGAGGGGCAGCAUUUUAGUUUGCUUGCAAACUAAAGAUGGCGACCGGCGCACGGGUGAGUAACACGUAUCCAACCUGCCGAUAACUCGGGGAUAGCCUUUCGAAAGAAAGAUUAAUAUCCGAUGGUAUAUUAAAACCGCAUGGUUUUACUAUUAAAGAAUUUCGGUUAUCGAUGGGGAUGCGUUCCAUUAGUUUGUUGGCGGGGUAACGGCCCACCAAGACUACGAUGGAUAGGGGUUCUGAGAGGAAGGUCCCCCACAUUGGAACUGAGACACGGUCCAAACUCCUACGGGAGGCAGCAGUGAGGAAUAUUGGUCAAUGGACGAGAGUCUGAACCAGCCAAGUAGCGUGAAGGAUGACUGCCCUAUGGGUUGUAAACUUCUUUUAUAUGGGAAUAAGGUUUUCCACGUGUGGAAUUUUGUAUGUACCAUAUGAAUAAGGAUCGGCUAACUCCGUGCCAGCAGCCGCGGUAAUACGGAGGAUCCGAGCGUUAUCCGGAUUUAUUGGGUUUAAAGGGAGUGUAGGUGGAUUGUUAAGUCAGUUGUGAAAGUUUGCGGCUCAACCGUAAAAUUGCAGUUGAAACUGGCAGUCUUGAGUACAGUAGAGGUGGGCGGAAUUCGUGGUGUAGCGGUGAAAUGCUUAGAUAUCACGAAGAACUCCGAUUGCGAAGGCAGCUCACUAGACUGCAACUGACACUGAUGCUCGAAAGUGUGGGUAUCAAACAGGAUUAGAUACCCUGGUAGUCCACACAGUAAACGAUGAAUACUCGCUGUUUGCGAUAUACAGUAAGCGGCCAAGCGAAAGCAUUAAGUAUUCCACCUGGGGAGUACGCCGGCAACGGUGAAACUCAAAGGAAUUGACGGGGGCCCGCACAAGCGGAGGAACAUGUGGUUUAAUUCGAUGAUACGCGAGGAACCUUACCCGGGCUUAAAUUGCAUUUGAAUAAUCUGGAAACAGGUUAGCCGCAAGGCAAAUGUGAAGGUGCUGCAUGGUUGUCGUCAGCUCGUGCCGUGAGGUGUCGGCUUAAGUGCCAUAACGAGCGCAACCCUUAUCUUUAGUUACUAACAGGUCAUGCUGAGGACUCUAGAGAGACUGCCGUCGUAAGAUGUGAGGAAGGUGGGGAUGACGUCAAAUCAGCACGGCCCUUACGUCCGGGGCUACACACGUGUUACAAUGGGGGGUACAGAAGGCAGCUACCUGGCGACAGGAUGCUAAUCCCAAAAACCUCUCUCAGUUCGGAUCGAAGUCUGCAACCCGACUUCGUGAAGCUGGAUUCGCUAGUAAUCGCGCAUCAGCCAUGGCGCGGUGAAUACGUUCCCGGGCCUUGUACACACCGCCCGUCAAGCCAUGAAAGCCGGGGGUACCUGAAGUACGUAACCGCAAGGAGCGUCCUAGGGUAAAACUGGUAAUUGGGGCUAA
rnacentral:rRNA from 1 species